AUCAUGAUUACAGUGGGGCUGAGGUGAUAGGCUGGUGUUACAGGGUAGCUUGUCGCUGAGGAUAAACUAAUCCAGCCCAGCUCCCCUGGAGCAGAGCAGGGAAGCCUAGUCCAGCCAAUUAAAGAGGGUUGGAUUACAGCUGGGCCUAUAAAGGGCUGCUAGUGGGCAGCUGGGGGAGAUUGAGUGAGACCAGCUGUACCCUGGGAUGGGAAAACCACACUGGACUGGAGCUAGCUCCUGUGGUGGAUCUGUGGAGUAAGGGGCUCAGAGAAGCAGCCCUGGGGCUGCAGCUCCAGGAAGGGAGCAGAGCUGAUUGGAAUUGAGAAGCUGCCAGGAGCAGGAGUGGCAGAGACCGCUGGUCUGGGUGGCCCUGAAGCUGGAGGCUAAGGAAUUAGUUAAAAGGACUGUGUUUCUCUGUUUGCUAACCUCCUUGCAAGAGACUGGGCAUGUCAGUGCACAUGUUGGAGCUGGGGAGAUAUCCAGCUCAGUGGCAGAUCUGUUUUCACAACUUAGACAGACACCAGGAUUCUGUUAAUUACACACUCAGGAGAGAAUAUCUUGUUGUCGCCUAUGGAUGUAGGCAGCUGUGA
rnacentral:lncRNA from 1 species